CAGUCCACCUGCCCCAGCGGCCUGAGAUGAAGCCUGUAGAUGUAGGGAGGCCUGUGAUCCGGCCUCCAGAGCAGAGUGCACCCCCACCAGGGGCCCCCGACAAGGACAAGCAGAAACAGGAGCCAAAAACACCAGUGGCACCCAAAAAGGACCUGAAAAUUAAGAACAUGGGCUCCUGGGCCAGCCUGGUACAGAAGCAUCC